AUUUCCAUACUGGGUAGGUUCCUCUUCAUCAUCCUUGUCAAAUUUAGACAUCCAAUGCAAUUCCUUCAAAAUGGUAAGAUAUUGAGAACAUUCACAAUACAUUGAUUCCACAGACCAGAAAUUUUCAACAGCAACAAGGAACACUUCCAUCUUUAAAAGCAACUUUAAAAAUGUAUCGUGAACAAUGAUCCGAGCGAAUUUCAAAGCUGAACCCACUAGCAAAUGAAUAUAAUUACACAAAACAAGUGAAAAUGCCUUAAAGUUACGAACAUCAAUGAUGUCUGAGGAUGUAUUGGUGCUACGAUCCAAAUCCCU
rnacentral:misc_RNA from 1 species